UACGUAGGGUGCGAGCGUUUGUCCGGAAUUAUUGGGCGUAAAGAGCUCGUAGGCGGUGUGUCGCGUCGGCCGUGAAAACCUGGGGCUCAACUCUGGGCGUGCGGUCGAUACGGGCAUCACUUGAGUUCGGCAGGGGAGACUGGAAUUCCUGGUGUAGCGGUGAAAUGCGCAGAUAUCAGGAGGAACACCGGUGGCGAAGGCGGGGUCUCUGGGGCCGAUACUGACGCUGAGGAGCGAAAGCAUGGGUAGCGAACAGG
rnacentral:rRNA from 1 species